GCUGAUCCCCCAUCCCCCUGUGGAGAUGAAGGGGUAUGCUGAUCCCCAGUCCCCCUGUGGGGAUGAAGGUGUGUGCUGAUCUCUCAUCCCCCUGUGGAGAUGGAGGUGUGUGCUGAUCCCCCGUCCUCCUGUGGAGAUGAAGGCGUGUGCUGAUCCCCAGUCCCCCUGUGGGGAUGAAGGUGUGUGCUGAUCUCUCAUCCCCCUGUGGAGAUGGAGGUGUGUGCUGAUCCCCAUCCCCCUGUGGGGAUGAAGGUGUGUGCUGAUCCCCCGUCCUCCUGUGGAGAUGAAGGCGUGUGCUGAUCCCCAGUCCCCCUGUGGGGAUGAAGGUGUGUGCUGAUCUCUCAUCCCCCUGUGGAGAUGGAGGUGUGUGCUGAUCCCCAUCCCCCUGUGGGGAUGAAGGUGUGUGCUGAUUCCCCGUCCUCCUGUGGAGAUGAAGGCGUGUGCUGAUCCCCCAUCCCCCUGUGGAGAUGAAGGUGUGUGCUGAUCCGCCAUCCCACUGUGGAGAUGAAGGCGUGCACCGAUCCCCAUCCCCCUGUGGAGAUGGAGGCGUGUGCCGAUCCCCCAUCCCCCUGUGGAGAUGAAGGCGUGUGCCGAUCCCCCAUCCCCCUGUGGAGAUGAAGGCGUGUGCUGAUCCCCCAUCCCCCUGUGGAGAUGAAGGGGUGUGCUGAUCCCCCAUCCCCCUGUGGAGAUGAAGGUGUGUGCUGAUCCCCCAUCCCCCUGUGGAGAUGAAGGUGUGUGCUGAUCCGCCAUCCCCCUGUGGAGAUGAAGGCGUGCGCUGAUCCCCAUCCCCCUGUGGAGAUGGAGGCGUGUGCCGAUCCCCCAUCCCCCUGUGGGGAUGAAGGCGUGUGCCGAUCCCCCAUCCCCCUGUGGAGAUGAAGGCGUGUGCUGAUCCCCCAUCCCCCUGUGGGGAUGAAGGCGUGUGCUGAUCCCCCAUCCCCCUGUGGAGAUGAAGGUGUGUGCUGGUCCCCCAUCCCCCUGUGGAGAUGAAGGUGUGUGCUGAUCCCCCAUCCCCCUGUGGAGAUGAAGGUGUGUGCUGAUCCCCCGUCCUCCUGUGGAGAUGAAGGCGUGUGCUGGUCCCCCAUCCCCCUGUGGAGAUGAAGGCGUGUGCUGAUCCCCCAUCACCCUGUGGAGAUGAAGGCGUGUGCUGAUCCCCCAUCACCCUGUGGAGAUGAAGGUGUGUGCUGGUCCCCCAUCCCCCUGUGGAGAUGAAGGUGUGUGCUGGUUACUAAUCCACAUGGGCAAGAACAGGAUGUCCGUCAUUACCCUGAAUCAAUGCUAACACAGUGCCACUUGAGUUCACAUUAAGUUAGAAAUUGAGAAUCUAAAGGUACCUUUAUUUUAACUAAAAAAUAAUUUAUAUACUGUAUAUUGAUUGUGAUACAAUUUACAAAGUCUGAGGUGUGGAACAGAGUUAUUUAAGCAUUAGUCAACCCUGGUCCUUAAGACAGUUCUAGUAAAAUGGGAUUGUAUAUAUUUGUUCAACUAUUUUGACCAAAAAGUUCAAUAAAUUUUAAAUGUUUG
rnacentral:lncRNA from 1 species